rnacentral:rRNA from 1 species
AUACGGAGGGUGCAAGCGUUAUCCGGAAUCAUUGGGUUUAAAGGGUCCGUAGGCUGGCUAUUAAGUCAGAGGUGAAAUCCCACAGCUUAACUGUGGAACUGCCUUUGAUACUGGUAGUCUUGAGUUAUAUGGAAGUAGAUAGAAUGUGUAGUGUAGCGGUGAAAUGCAUAGAUAUUACACAGAAUACCGAUUGCGAAGGCAGUCUACUACGUAUAUACUGACGCUAAGGGACGAAAGCGUGGGGAGCGAACAGGAUUAGAAACCCCGGUAGUCC